UACGAAGGGGGCUAGCGUUGCUCGGAAUCACUGGGCGUAAAGGGUGCGUAGGCGGGUCUUUAAGUCAGGGGGGAAAUCCUGGAGCUCAACUCCAGAACUGCCUUUGAUACUGAGGAUCUUGAGUUCGGGAGAGGUGAGUGGAACUGCAAGUGUAGAGGUGAAAUUCGUAGAUAUUCGCAAGAACACCAGUGGCGAAGGCGGCUCACUGGCCCGAUACUGACGCUGAGUCACGAAAGCGUGGGGAGCAAACAGG
rnacentral:rRNA from 1 species